rnacentral:rRNA from 1 species
UACGAAGGGUGCAAGCGUUAAUCGGAAUUACUGGGCGUAAAGCGUGCGUAGGUGGUUUCUUAAGUCUGCUGUGAAAGCCCUGGGCUCAACCUGGGAAUGGCGGUGGAUACUGAGGAGCUAGAGUGCGGUAGAGGAGGGUGGAAUUCCCGGUGUAGCGGUGAAAUGCGUAGAGAUCGGGAGGAACAUCAGUGGCGAAGGCGGCCCUCUGGACCAGCAC